UAUAGAUGAGAGCACACCGAUCAACAAAGUUAAAGGUCCUAAUGUGUUUGAACGAGCAAAGGAAGAGAUUGAAGCCCUUGUAGAAGCUCUCCACCCCAAGAGGAGUCCUGAACAUGAGCAUCAUGAAAGGAAUUAUGGUGUUCUUGAGAAGGUGUGAAGACAGUUGACAAGCUCAAGUGUUUCACAGUCCAAUGUGCACAUUGGACUGUCUUCUUCAGAGCACAUUGUCAUAUCAUACACAUUGAUAGUCCAAUGUGCCGGAUUUCUACGAACACCACCUAAUUAUUGUCAACAGUGACAGUCUGAACUUGUUCUGUCAGAAAAGGAAACAAUAUUGGUGAUUUAGAUCUGCCAUGAAUCAUCGAAUGUCUUUGUGAUAGAAACAUGAUCAGUUACUGUUGAAUGGAUGGCUACGUGGGGACGAAGAAUGCAUCUCUUUGUUUGACUUCC